GUACAGAAUUGAGGGACUGUCGACAAUGUUUUAUCAUUGUUCUUGGUUUACAGACGUUACCCGUAAAUAAACUGGACCCCUGUUGUGUUUAUUUAUCGCUGCACUGAGCCUCCUGCACUACGAUGGAAUGGCGGACCAGUUUAAACAUGCCCCAGAAUGGUCAGAACAGUGGCAAAAGACUAAUCCAGAUUACCAAAAAAUAGAAAUUGUUCAGCUACCAUUCAUGCCAUAAGCAUGAUAAGAAAAAUUUUGCAGUUUCCAGAAUUUGAGGUAAUCAAGAUUUAGUGUUUCCAUGCAAGUGUCAAAGAUUGAACGACAAAACAUCUAAAACUUUACAGGACAGAGUAGACUUUUUUCACUGUGCUUCAUUUUGUCUUUAUGUCUAAAUAAUGAUACAUUUUAAAAAACCAAUAAAAUAUGGAAUAAAAAAGAUUGUUAUCUUAUAAAAUGGAGUGAAGAAAUAAGGG